CUGGAAAAAAAAACUCUGUCCAGAAGUUUUUGAGGUCACUGAUUACGAAACUGAAAUCAGAUCUUGAAAAUUCAGUACGGCGAAUCCAAUCAGCGAGCCCAAAAACCCUUGUAUUCGUAAUCAGCGACCCGAAAAACCCAUACACGGAGAGAAAAAUUUGAGAGAAAUUACCCUGCUGUCUAUAAUCGUGAUGUAAAAGACACCUAAUGGAUUUUUUAUUGAGGCAUGUUACAAAAAUUAUAGGUUUUUGUGAAAAAAAUUACUACCUUGCUU
rnacentral:lncRNA from 1 species